rnacentral:rRNA from 1 species
ACGUAGGGGGCAAGCGUUAUCCGGAUUUACUGGGUGUAAAGGGAGCGUAGACGGAAGUGCAAGUCAGAAGUGAAAGCCCGGGGCUUAACCCCGGGACUGCUUUUGAAACUGUGCAUCUAGAGUGCAGGAGAGGUAAGCGGAAUUCCUAGUGUAGCGGUGAAAUGCGUAGAUAUUAGGAGGAACACCGGUGGCGAAGGCGGCUUACUGGACUGUAACUGACGUUGAGGCUCGAAAGCGUGGGGAGCAAACAG